GAUGAACGCUAGCUACAGGCUUAACACAUGCAAGUCGAGGGGAAACGAUAGAGAAAGCUUGCUUUUUCUAGGCGUCGACCGGCGCACGGGUGAGUAACGCGUAUCCAACCUGCCCACCACUUGGGGAUAACCUUGCGAAAGUAAGACUAAUACCCAAUGAUAUCUCUAGAAGACAUCUGGAAGGUAUUAAAGAUUUAUCGGUGAUGGAUGGGGAUGCGUCUGAUUAGCUUGAUGGCGGGGUAACGGCCCACCAAGGCGACGAUCAGUAGGGGUUCUGAGAGGAAGGUCCCCCACAUUGGAACUGAGACACGGUCCAAACUCCUACGGGAGGCAGCAGUGAGGAAUAUGGGUCAAUGGGCGAGAGCCUGAACCAGCCAAGUAGCGUGCAGGAUGACGGCCCUAUGGGUUGUAAACUGCUUUUAUAAGGGAAUAAAGUGAGUCCCGUGAGACUUUUUGCAUGUACCUUAUGAAUAAGGACCGGCUAAUUCCGUGCCAGCCGCCGCGGUAA
rnacentral:rRNA from 1 species